rnacentral:rRNA from 1 species
GGGGAAUAUUGCGCAAUGGGGGAAACCCUGACGCAGCAACGCCGCGUGGAGGAAGAAGGCCUUCGGGUCGUAAACUCCUUUAAUCAGGGAUGACAAAGGACAGUACCUGAGGAAUAAGCCACGGCUAACUACGUGCCAGCAGCCGCGGUAAUACGUAGGUGGCGAGCGUUGUCCGGAAUUACUGGGCGUAAAGGGUGCGUAGGCGGAAAUUUAAGUCAGAUGUGAAAUUCCGGGGCUCAACUUCGGAAUUGCAUUUGAAACUGGGUUUCUAGAGUGCAGGAGAGGGAAGCGGAAUUCCUAGUGUAGCGGUGAAAUGCGUAGAUAUUAGGAAGAACACCAGUGGCGAAGGCGGCUUUCUGGACUGUAACUGACGCUGAGGCACGAGAGCGUGGGGAGCAAAC